CGUUUUUUUUGUUCUUCUAUGCAAUUUUCUUAACACUUUCAAUUAUAUUUUAUUAUAACGCAACACUCUACGGUCUACGGAACGCGCUCUGGCAUCAGCAAUUAACAUCGAUUUUAUAAAAUUGACAAUGAGUCUUUCAAAUAAAUAUAAUGCUCAAUAAUGAACGGGUAAAAAAUAUAUUGUUCCGUGCCGUCGAGGAAAUCCACAACGAACAACAAAUACGUAGGUACUUACCAAAACCUUAUUAUGGCUGUUUGGCCGAUUUACACGAAAUGAACGACCAAUGCAAUUUUUUCACCAAAAUUAAGUGUGGCCACACUUAAAAAAAUUGACUUUGUGCGUUUGGGUUAUUA